UACGAAGGGGGCUAGCGUUGUUCGGAAUCACUGGGCGUAAAGGGCGCGUAGGCGGCCUGAUAAGUCGGGGGUGAAAUCCUGUGGCUCAACCACAGGGCUGCCUCCGAGACUGUCGGGCUCGAGCACAGUAGAGGCAGGUGGAAUUCCCGGUGUAGCGGUGGAAUGCGUAGAGAUCGGGAAGAACAUCGGUGGCGAAGGCGGCCUGCUGGGCUGUUGCUGACGCUGAGGCGCGACAGCGUGGGGAGCAAACAGG
rnacentral:rRNA from 1 species